rnacentral:rRNA from 1 species
GACGAGCUAAUACCGGAUAAUAUAUUGAACCGCAUGGUUCAAUAGUGAAAGACGGUUUUGCUGUCACUUAUAGAUGGAUCCGCGCCGCAUUAGCUAGUUGGUAAGGUAACGGCUUACCAAGGCAACGAUGCGUAGCCGACCUGAGAGGGUGAUCGGCCACACUGUAACUGAGACACGGUCCAG